AGUAAAAGUCGUAACAAGGUCUCCGUUGGUGAACCAGCGGAGGGAUCAUUACCGAGUUGCAAAACUCCCACAAACCAUCGCGAAUCUUACCCGUACGGUUGCCUCGGCGCUGGCGGUCCGGAAAGGCCCUCGGGCCCUCCCGGAUCCUCGGGUCUCCCGCUCGCGGGAGGCUGCCCGCCGGAGUGCCGAAACUAAACUCUUGAUAUUUUAUGUCUCUCUGAGUAAACUUUUAAAUAAGUCAAAACUUUCAACAACGGAUCUCUUGGUUCUGGCAUCGAUGAAGAACGCAGCGAAAUGCGAUAAGUAAUGUGAAUUGCAGAAUUCAGUGAAUCAUCGAAUCUUUGAACGCACAUUGCGCUCGCCAGUAUUCUGGCGAGCAUGCCUGUUCGAGCGUCAUUUCAACCAUCAAGCUCUGCUUGCGUUGGGGAUCCGCGGCUGUCCGCGGUCCCUCAAAAUCAGUGGCGGGCUCGCUAGUCACACCGAGCGUAGUAACUCUACAUCGCUAUGGUCGUGCGGCGGGUUCUUGCCGUAAAACCCCCCAUUUCUAAGGUUGACCUCGGAUCAGGUAGGAAUACCCGCUGAACUUAAGCAUAUCAAUAAGCGGAGGAAAAGAAACCAACAGGGAUUGCCCCAGUAACG
rnacentral:rRNA from 1 species